GAUGAACGCUAGCGGCAGGCCUAAUACAUGCAAGUCGAACGGUGUCUUCGGACAUAGUGGCGCACGGGUGCGUAACACGUAUGCAACCUACCUUACAUUGGGGGACAGCCUUUCGAAAGGGAGCCUAAUACCGCAUAAGAAAGUACCUGGGAAUCCAGCAGCUGCUAACGAUUUAACGAUGGAAUCUGGGCAUGCGUCCAGUUAGCAAGUUGGUGAGGUAACGGCGUACCAAGGCAAUGAUUGGUAGGGGAACUGAGACGUCAAUCUCACACACUGGCACAGGGAUACGGGCCAGACUCCAACGGGAGGCGGCAGUAGGGAAUAUUGGGCAAUGGACGCAAGUCUGACCCAGCCAUGGCACGUGCAGGAUGAAGGCGUUAUGCGUUGUAAACUGCUUUUAUACAGGAAGAAACGACUCUUGCGAGGGGCAUUGACGGUACUGUAUGAAUAAGCACCGGCUAACUCCGUGCCAGCAGCCGCUGUAAAAC
rnacentral:rRNA from 1 species